UGGCAAGGGAAGCUUAGGUUAGAUAUUAGGAAGAAUUUUCUCACUAGGAGGGUAGUAAAAUACUGGAACACAUUAUCCAGAAAGGCUGUGGACUCUCUAGCCUUUGAGUUUUUAGU